GUCCACGCCCUAAACGAUGUCAACUAGUUGUUGGUAGAGUAAAAUCUAUGAGUAACGCAGCUAACGCGUGAAGUUGACAGCCUGGGGAGUACGAUCGCAAGAUUAAAACUCAAAUGAAUUGACGGGGGCCCCGCACAAGCGGUGGAUUAUGUGGAUUAAUUCGAUGCAACGCGAAAACCUUACCUGGCCUUGACAUGUACGGAACUUUCCAGAGAUGGAUUGGUGCUCGAAAGAGAACCGUAACACAGGUGCUGCAUGGCUGUCGU
rnacentral:rRNA from 1 species